rnacentral:lncRNA from 1 species
AAUUUACUAAUGCAUUCAUUCCACAAGUAAACUUCUGCAAUCCUCGUUUAUUCAUAUACUUUGACAAAAACAAAGAGACCCACAAGCUUUUUGAGUCUUCACAACCCAAAACAUGUAUUUGAAACUGAAAAUUCAAUCAUUCCAUGUUUAUAGGCAUAUUGCUUGAUAGAAACAUAUAAAUCAUUACCUGAAUUUUUUUUUUUUUUUUUUUUUUUUGAGACGGAGUCUCACUCUGUCACCCAGGCUGGAGUGCAGUGGUGCAGUCUCAGCUCACUACAACCUCUGCCUCCCGGGUUCAAGCUAUUCUCCUGCCUCAGUCUCCUGAGUAGCUGGGAUUACAGGCGCCCACCACCACACCCGGCUAAUUUUUUUUUUUUAAUUUUUAAUCGAGACGGAGUUUUACCAUGUUGGCCACGCUGGUCUCGAACUCCUGACCUCUGGUGAUCCACCCGCCUUGGCCUCCCAAAGUGCUGGGAUUACAGGCAUGAGCCACCGCGCCCAGCCUGGAUUUUUUUUAAUCCAACCCAGUUCCAUAUUUUCCUCUAGAGAGACUGACUCACCAAGCCUAUCUCCUUUUCCUGGAAACACAAUCAAAUUAACUUUCCAGUCACCGCUGUGUCUAGGUGUGGCCAUAUGAGUAGUUCUCACCAGUGGAAUGUAGUGAAAACGAGAUGCUGUCUCUUAGGGACUAAGGAAGCUAUCUUUCCUCUUCCGACAUUUGCUGACUGGUCGAUGCUAGAUGAUCUUGAGACCCUGUGCUGAGGACUGGAGAACUACAGGAAAGGAGCAGUAUCUCUGAAUUAUCGUGUGGAAGGUCACUUGUCUAGCCCCUGAUGACUGUGAGCCUCUUCCUCCUGCUUGCCACCUCUCAGUCACAAGACGGCUGCUGCGACUCAGGCUCAUGUCCCAAUUCAAGGCAGCAAGAAGGCCAUGGAGCGGCACCUGCCAGCAGAUGCCCCUGCAGGCCAUCUCUCCAGGCUCAGGAACCUAAAGAAGAAUCUACCCAGAUGUGGUGGCUCACACCUGUGAUCCCACCACUUUGGGAGGCUGAGGCAAGAGGAUCACUUGAGCCCAGGAGUUGGAGACCAACGUAGGCAAUACAGCAAGACUCCCAUCUCUACAAAAAAAAAAAAGAAAGAAAGAAAGAAAGAAAAGAAAUUAGCUGGCUGUGGUGCUGCACAUUUGUAAUACCAGCUACUCUAGAGGCUGAGGCUGGAGGAUCACUUGAGCCGAGGAGUGAGCUAUGACCACACCAUUGCAUUUCAGCCUCAGUGACAGAGCAAGGCCCUGCCUCAAAAAAAAAAAAAAAAAAAGAAAAGAAUAAGAUAAAAUAAAUAAUACAGGAGAACCUAGUGCUCAGGUUCUCUAGUGAAGAGGAAGGCAAAAGAUAGAAAGGUCAGACAAACUUAAACAUGCAUUCCAAGAUCGGCCUGGGUCCGCCCGUAGACAUGAAGGAAUCUUCUGGUGGAAAGUUAGGCAGGGAAACGGACACUGCUAUGAGCAUGUCUUCCUGGGCAGCUUGCGAUGGUCAGGAGGAGGUGGUUGUUCCUCAGCAGCGGUGCUUCCGAUGAAGCCCCAUGUUGUAGUGGAAGACAAGCCAUUCCUGUCUGACCUUCUGUGCCGCGCCUAGGCUUCCAAAAGCUGCUAUCGCCAAGAUCCAUUUCCGUUCACCUUUAAACUGCUUGUUAUGGGGAGGAGUCAGCCAGCCAUGAUGCAUACUUGUUACAGAAAGAAACGCCCACGUUGAGCUCUCCUGAUAAGAAGAGAGAGCAUUCGUCAUUGUCUGUAUCUGUCAUCUGAAGAAGGAACCAAUGUCAAAAAUCCCACACAUUCUCCUCCCGCAAGUCACAGAGUAAGCCUCCCAUUCUUGAGCUCGUUCAUUCACCAAACACAUUCUGAUCUCUCCUGUGCCCAGGCGGUGGGAUUCAGAGAAGAAGUGCUGCCUAGUAGUCAGCACCCAGUGCCAGGAAAACAGGACAAGGGGAGUUGUCGGGGGAGACACCAGGAUUGAAGUUGCUUUUACUAAAAAACAUUUUUUUUAUCUUGUUAACAAAUAUAUUUACCAUGGUACAUGGUGGCAAUGCUCUCAGUUUUAAAACACAGCAAUUAUCUUCCAGUGGUCACUAAUUAAUCCAGGUGUGGCUAGGAACAGCUGGAUACUGAUCUGUGUGAUGAUGGCACCUCUAUCAUCAGGCUGCCAUUGCUGGCACUUUGGGCAAGGUGGACUGGGGUUCUGCUCUGGGGCUGUGUGCCCAAGGUUUACACCUCACUAUUUUACAGCACACUGGAGCUCCCAACAGUCCCCGAAGGUCUGGAGAUCACCAAUGGGCAGGAGAGAAGGGAGGGGUUUAGACAUCAGGGAGCCAAGUUCUACAGCAUCUUCUAGAUCCAGGCUAUCGAGCACUUGAAAUGCGGCUAAGUCUGAAUUGAGAUGUGCUGUGUGUAAGAGACACAACAGAUUUUGAAGACAGUAUGAGAAAAAGAACAUAAAAUAUCUCAGUAAUUUUAUAUUGAUUACAUGUUGAAAUGAUACUAAUUUUUGAUAUACUGGGUUAAAUAAAAUAGAUUAUUAAAAUUAACU